rnacentral:rRNA from 1 species
UUCAAUACUGCCGGUCAAAAGCAGUGUGCACUUUUCUCUUAGUAAGACGCCGUGAUCCAUUAGAAAUUGAUGCAUGCAAACUGCAUAUUGGGUCAUCAAUAGGCCGGUGUGAAGUUUAUCCGGAACAAAUGGCGUGGUCUUUUACGGCCGCGUGUAUUGUCUGGUAAGCGCGCCGUGUCCUGUAAUGACUGUCUGAUGGAUUUUAGAGGUGAUAUCAAUGGUGUUACGGCACCACUCUCGCGAGAGAGAAUCCGAUAUCUGCCCGAUCGACGGCGGUCAAAUUUGGGAUACCUUUUGGACCCGUCUUGAAACACGGACCAAGGAGUCUAUCUAGUAUGCGAGUAAAUGGAUAAUUCAUGAAAUCUAUUUGCACAAUAAACUUGACUGUUUUAAUGGGAAUACGAGAUGUCUCUCAAUCGAGAAUCUCCUCCAUCCCGGGGUAUUUUCAUCAACAUAUGCUUGCAUAUGGAAAAUAUACCAUGAGCACACUGGAUACGACCCGAAAGAUGGUGAACUAUGCCUGAUCAGGUCGAAGUCAGGGGAAACCCUGAUGGAGGACCGAAGCAGUUCUGACGUGCAAAUCG